rnacentral:rRNA from 1 species
CCCUGGCUCAGGAUGAACGCUAGCGGCAGGCUUAACACAUGCAAGUCGAGGGGUAGAGUUCUUCGGAACUUGAGACCGGCGCACGGGUGCGUAACGCGUAUGCAAUCUACCUUUUACAGAGGGAUAGCCCAGAGAAAUUUGGAUUAAUACCUCAUAGUAUUACGACUCGGCAUCGAGAUGUAAUUAAAGUCACAACGGUAAAAGAUGAGCAUGCGUCCCAUUAGCUAGUUGGUAAGGUAACGGCUUACCAAGGCAACGAUGGGUAGGGGUCCUGAGAGGGAGAUCCCCCACACUGGUACUGAGACACGGACCAGACUCCUACGGGAGGCAGCAGUGAGGAAUAUUGGACAAUGGGCGCAAGCCUGAUCCAGCCAUGCCGCGUGCAGGAUGACGGUCCUAUGGAUUGUAAACUGCUUUUGUACAGGAAGAAACACUGGUUCGUGAACCAGCUUGACGGUACUGUAAGAAUAAGGAUCGGCUAA